rnacentral:rRNA from 1 species
UUGAUAGGUCAGAGGUGUAAGUGCGGUAACGUAUUUAGCUGACUGAUACUAAUAGGUCGAGGGCUUGACCAAUAUAA